UGCCAUGACUUCAUUGAAUUUGGGCAUCAC
rnacentral:piRNA from 1 species